AUGCGAACGGGUGAGAAANAAGUGGUAAAGUGCCCNGGAAUUUGGGAUAACAAGUGGGAAACCGUUGUAAUACCGAAUAACCUGCAGGCUUCGCAUGAUGCAGCAGGCAAAGUUCCGCCGUUCNGGGAUCGGCCCGCGGUGUAUCAGCUUGUUGGUGGGGUAACGGCCUACCAAGGCUUUGACGCAUAGCUGGCGUGAGAGCGCGACCAGCCAACAACUGGGACUGAGACACGGCCCAGACUCCUACGGGGAGGCAGCAGUAGGGAAUCUUGCGCAAUGGGCGAAAGCCUGACGCAGCGACGCCGCGUGAGGGAUGAAUGCCUUCGGGUUGUAAACCUCUUUCAGCAGGGACGAAGCCUCACGGUGACGGUACCUGCAGAAGAAGCCCCGGCCAACUACGUGCCAGCAGCCGCGGUAAUACGUAGGGGGCAAGCGUUGUCCGGAUUUAUUGGGCGUAAAGAGCUCGUAGGCGGCUGGUCACGUCGGGUGUGAAAGCUCAAAGCUCAACUUUGAGAGGCCAUUCGAUACGGAUCAGCUAGAGGUAGGUAGGGGAAAGUGGAAUUCCUGGUGUAGCGGUGAAAUGCGCAGAU
rnacentral:rRNA from 1 species